GAACUUGACGAUAAAAUAGUAAAAAUUGCUACUUAAAGUGCAUAACAUGAAUAAUAUUGCAAGUCAUCGUACAUUUUUAGUUCGACAAUAUUUAGGUCCAGUGGCGGAACUAUGGAUGGUCAGGAUACAUUAAAAUCUAUUUCCAUUUUAAAAUACUCUGGAGCGAAUCCUAUUGGGAUUAUUUCAGUCUUAAAUAUUCUUUACAAACUUUUAAUGUUGUUAAAAAAGUCUUUUGAAUUUA